rnacentral:rRNA from 1 species
GAUGAACGCUGACAGAAUGCUUAACACAUGCAAGUCGACUGUGGCGGACGGGUGAGUAACGAGAAAAGAACUUGCCUGACAGGUAGGGACAACAUAUGGAAACGAAUGCUAAUACCUAAUACUGUAAGAGAGCGUUGCGUCCCAUUAGCUAGUUGGGGAGGUAGCGGCUCACCAAGGCGAUGAUGGGUAGCCGGCCUGGGAGGGUGAUCGGCCACAAGGGGACUGAGAAACGGCCCUUACUGCCACGGGAGGCAGCAGUGGGGAAUAGUGGAAAAUGGACCAAAGUCUGAUCAAGCAAUUCUGUGUGUACGAUGAAGUUUUCGGAAUGUAAAGUGCUUUCAGUUGGGAAGCGGUACCAACAGAAGAAGUGACGGCUAAAUACGUGCCAGCAGCCGCGGUAAUUC